rnacentral:lncRNA from 1 species
GCUCAACAGAAGAUUUGACUUGGAAUAACAAGAGUUUUAGUCUUUGGGACAGCAGGAUGAAGCCCUGUGUGCAAGCACCAUGGCCACGACCCAUUGGAUUCCCUAAGCUGGAAGAAAAGACUCAGGGACGACUCUAUCUUCAAAAGUGUGGGUGUUGCUGCAUUGUUAAAGGAUAUCUGCAUAGCAAGGAGAAGUUCAGAAAAAGUCUGCUGAAUUUGUUUCAUAAUGCACAUGAACUUGCACCUUUCUUGACAAUAAGGAAGGAUAGAUUUUUAUUCCAAUCCAUUCUGUGGAAAAACACCAGCCAAGACUCUGCUCUGACAGCACCAGAGUAA